rnacentral:rRNA from 1 species
UACGGAGGGUGCAAGCGUUAUCCGGAUUCACUGGGUUUAAAGGGUGCGUAGGUGGGCAAGUAAGUCAGUGGUGAAAUCUCCGGGCUUAACCCGGAAACUGCCAUUGAUACUAUUAGUCUUGAAUUCGGUCGAGGUUGGCGGAAUGUGUCGUGUAGCGGUGAAAUGCUUAGAUAUGACACAGAACACCGAUUGCGAAGGCAGCUAGCCAGACCGACAUUGACGCUGAGGCACGAAAGCGUGGGGAGCGAACGGG